CAGAGUUUAGGGUCCCUUGUGGGCCCAAACCUCCAACCCCCCUUGGUGUUUACUACCCUGUUGCUUCGGCAGGCCCAAUGGGUUUACCUGCCGGAGCCUUAGCGUAACAAUCUGUUUAAUGAAUUGGUUAGUCUGAUCCUUCUGGAAAACAUAGAAUUGUUA
rnacentral:misc_RNA from 1 species